rnacentral:rRNA from 1 species
GAUGAACGCUGGCGGCGUGCCUAAUACAUGCAAGUCGAGCGAACAGACGAGGAGCUUGCUCCUCUGACGUUAGCGGCGGACGGGUGAGUAACACGUGGAUAACCUACCUAUAAGACUGGGAUAACUUCGGGAAACCGGAGCUAAUACCGGAUAAUAUAUUGAACCGCAUGGUUCAAUAGUGAAAGACGGUUUUGCUGUCACUUAUAGAUGGAUCCGCGCCGCAUUAGCUAGUUGGUAAGGUAACGGCUUACCAAGGCGACGAUGCGUAGCCGUCCUGAGAGGGUGAUCGGCAACACUGGAACUGAGACACGGUCCAGACUCCUACGGGAGGCAGCAGUAGGGAAUCUUCCGCAAUGGGCGAAAGCCUGACGGAGCAACGCCGCGUGAGUGAUGAAGGUCUUCGGAUCGUAAAACUCUGUUAUUAGGGAAGAACAAAUGUGUAAGUAACUAUGCACGUCUUGACGGUACCUAAUCAGAAAGCCACGGCUAACUACGUG